UCUUGGCACAGAGUCAAAAGCUGAUAAGCACUUGGGCGACACAGCUCAACUGCUGGGCUGGAAAAAACCCCAGCUGCCAUGAUUGCAGUUUGAUUGAGUGUGCUUACAGGAGGAAAAAAUCAGGCUGCAAAAGAAAGAGACUGCAAAAUGCCAGAGGAUUCUGCCGAAGAUCCACCAUGCUGGAAGAGAGAAAAGUGUCUGCCCUCCAUUUUCUCUCCUCUCUUUACUGCCGAACUCAUAACGCAGCCUUGCCUGCCCUCCCUCCCCCUGUAUAACCUCAAACAAGCUGCAGAAAUCAUGCCAAAUGUCACGUUGCUGGUUACCCAGAACAUUUUUUUUUUUUAAAUAAACGUCCCCUCCGUCCCUCGGUUUAUAAAAAGCCAAUGAGAUAGUAACUACUAAAAAAAAAAAAAAAAAACACUUGAGGAAACCAGAGAGAGCGACUGUGAGAAGAGAACCCUCCUCGCUACCAGAUAUUAAAAAAUGACACAAAAAGACCAGCAGCUCCUUAACCCUUCGCUUGUGCAAGCACUGCCUCCUCCUGCAGCAAAGAUGUUACACUUUCUCAGAGAUGGACGGCAAGCAUGAGAGAAAGAGAGCGAGCGGGAGCGAGUGUAUGAAAUUUUUUUUCCCCUUCUUUCCCAAAGACCAACAUUUGGCUUUUUCCAUUUGUGGCAGAUCACUGUACGGCUAUUGUAAGGAGAACAUCCUGCCUCUUUUGGCAUCGGUUCCAAAGGCAGCUCAACUAAGUUCAGCAGAACAAACUUUUUUUUUUUUCUCUCUCUGCCGAAGAAGCAAGACAAAAAAAAAAUUCCUGCAAGCUUUUCCCCAGGUUUUUCUGCGUUCUAUCUUUUUUUUCUCUUUGUGUUCUUUUCUCCCUUACUAUACUUUUUUUGACUUCAUUAUUUAUUUAUUAUAAUUUUUUUUAUACGUCAAGGAGUUAAAGCCAAAUCUUAACCGAGAUCCACAGAAGGGAUAACUGACUGAAAGAAACUAAGGUAAAUAACCCAACAGAAAUGAAAACAAAGGCUGCAAGCAAGACAACUAACCAACUAACUAACAGCAUGAAUACAGAAGAUAACUUCUUGGAAUUGCAUAUGCUUAUGAACACACUAAAAUGGGAU